GGAGGUAUGGUUCAAGUGGUCGAGCACCUGCCUAGUAAGUUCAAGACCUGGAUUCAAAUCCCAGUACCUCCA
rnacentral:tRNA from 1 species